UAGAGGUUUAAAGAAGAAAAAAAGAAAAAAAGGAGGAGGAGGAGGACGAAGAGCGAUUCUUUUGAAUAAAGGAAUAGGAAGAGAGGGGGGGGUUCUUUUUUUCUUUCUUCUUUUUCUUCUUGUUCUUCUUGUUUUUUUUGUUUUUUUUCAUUUGUGUGAGAUCAAACACGAAGGAAGAAGGAAGGCAAAGGGGUCUGGGGAUAUUGGCGCGUUCAAAAAAGAAGAAGAAAAA
rnacentral:ribozyme from 1 species